rnacentral:rRNA from 1 species
GAUGAACGCUAGCGGCAGGCCUAACACAUGCAAGUCAGGGGUAACAUAGAAAAGCUUGCUUUUCUGAUGACGACCGGCGCACGGGUGCGUAACGCGUAUACAACCUACCUUUUAGCGGGGAAUAGCCCAGGGAAACUUGGAUUAAUGCCCCAUAGUAUAUAGACUUCUCCUGAAGUUUAUAUUAAACAUUUAUGGCUAUUAGAUGGGUAUGCGUCCUAUUAGUUAGUUGGUAAGGUAACGGCUUACCAAGGCAGCGAUAGGUAGGGGUCCUGAGAGGGAGAUCCCCACACUGGUACUGAGACACGGACCAGACUCCUACGGGAGGCAGCAGUGAGGAAUAUUGGACAAUGGGCGAGAGCCUGAUCCAGCCAUGCCGCGUGCAGGAAGACUGCCCUAUGGGUUGUAAACUGCUUUUACAGAGGAAGAACCACCCCCACGUGUGGGGGUUUGACGGUACUCUGCGAAUAAGGAUCGGCUAACUCCGUG